rnacentral:sRNA from 1 species
GAUCAGCCUGAGCCACGGCCGCGUCGUCUACAGCCCCGGGGAGCCGCUGGCUGGGACCGUGCGCGUGCGCUUGGGGGCACCGCUGCCGUUCCGAGCCAUCCGGGUGACCUGCACAGGUUCCUGCGGGGUCUCCAACAAGGCUAAUGACACAGCGUGGGUAGUGGAGGAGGGUUACUUCAACAGUUCCCUGUCGCUGGCAGACAAGGGCCUCUUGAGGCCUGUCCCCACCGCCCCCCACCUCCCUCCUGUCUCUGCAGGGAGCCUGCCCGCUGGAGAGCACAGCUUCCCCUUCCAGUUCCUGCUUCCUGCCACAGCACCCACGUCCUUUGAGGGUCCUUUUGGGAAGAUCGUGCACCAGGUGAGGGCCACCAUCCACACGCCACGGUUUUCCAAGGAUCACAAGUGCAGCCUCGUGUUCUAUAUCUUGAGCCCCUUGAACCUGAACAGCAUCCCAGACAUUGAGCAACCCAACGUGGCCUCUGCCACCAAGAAGUUCUCCUACAAGCUGGUGAAGACGGGCAGCGUGGUCCUCACAGCCAGCACUGAUCUCCGCGGCUAUGUGGUGGGGCAGGCACUGCAGCUGCAUGCCGACAUUGAGAACCAGUCAGGCAAGGACACCAGCCCUGUGGUGGCCAGUCUGCUGCAGAAAGUGUCCUAUAAGGCCAAGCGCUGGAUCCACGACGUACGGACCAUCGCAGAGGUGGAGGGUGCGGGCGUCAAGGCCUGGCGGCGGGCGCAGUGGCACGAGCAG